rnacentral:rRNA from 1 species
AUUGAACGCUGGCGGCAGGCUUAACACAUGCAAGUCGAGCGGGGUGAUGGUGCUUGCACUAUCACUUAGCGGCGGACGGGUGAGUAAUGCUUAGGAAUCUGCCUAUUAGUGGGGGACAACAUCUCGAAAGGGAUGCUAAUACCGCAUACGUCCUACGGGAGAAAGCAGGGGAUCACUUGUGACCUUGCGCUAAUAGAUGAGCCUAAGUCGGAUUAGCUAGUUGGUGGGGUAAAGGCCUACCAAGGCGACGAUCUGUAGCGGGUCUGAGAGGAUGAUCCGCCACACUGGGACUGAGACACGGCCCAGACUCCUACGGGAGGCAGCAGUGGAGAAUAUUGGACAAUGGGGGGAACCCUGAUCCAGCCAUGCCGCGUGUGUGAAGAAGGCCUUAUGGUUGUAAAGCACUUUAAGCGAGGAGGAGGCUCUUUUGGUUAAUACCCAUGAUGAGUGGACGUUACUCGCAGAAUAAGCACCGGCUAACUCUGUGCCAGCCGCCGCAGUAA